GGAUGAGGUUUGUUUGUGCUUAAUUAUAAUAAGUGGUACCAAAUCAACAUCAAAAUACUCCUAUAUAAGGAGAUGUAAGCUGUAUUUUUUCAUGUGUAGGACAAAGAAUUCAGAUUCAGUUUUCUUUUCUUCCUCCAUAUAUUAUUUUAUCAAAUGCUCUUUCUUUUCUUCAUUAAAUCUGUCCAUAUUUAACUCUACAGUCAAAACAAUCUUCUUUCACUCCCCUCCUACAGUUCUGGUCUAGAUAUGCUCUAACCAUCUGACAUUUUAUCGUCAAUGAGUAUGAGUGUUAUAUCUACCUUCCUCCCUCUGAUACAACUCUUCAAUUACCUUGCCAUACACAUGUCGGCCCGUGUCCGCACAACGCGGGAUAUGUGUCCGACACAUAUCCAUCACGUU
rnacentral:misc_RNA from 1 species